CUUGUUCUUUAAAGCGGCUAAACCCCUAAUCUCUUUAUUUCCUAAUCGAAGCAUUUCCUGUUUCCACUUCCCCUCAAUCGGCACCAAAUUUUGUAUUUUUUUCUUAAAUUUCUUCACUGAUUAUUUCUCAUUUUGAUGUUCGCUUGAGAAAAAUCUUUUCUUUUUCAAUGGCGAUUUCUUUCUCUUUUUCUUGGUUUUUUUUUAAAUGAAUCCCUAUGAAGAAUUAAUCCCAGAAGUAAAGUAAAAGUAGUGGACCGAUUUAUUUCCAUUGACGAAUAUCCAAUUCCGAGGGAUGAUUAACAUUUCAGCUGGCUGUAGAAAUGGACAUUCUUGGCUAUUUUGACAUUCUUGACUAUUUUGAUAAUGGAGAUUUGUCAAUUUGGUUGAGCAAAUUCAUAGGAAAAAGAUUGAAAGAAUCCAACUCGUGCGCCGGAGGCCGGAGAACAACGGCCAGAGAAGUUUUUCAGUUGUGAAAGAGUGGAUGUAUGAUGCUAGAAAUGUAGAAAGUGUUAAAACAGCUCAAGAAUUUUGCUGUCUAUAUGAUGUAUUUUGUUCAUUCUAUUUGAUGUAGAAAGUGUAAAAGUUUAAUAUUGGUAUGCAAAUUGCAUAAGCUUUUUUUUAUUAUUAUUUUGAAGAGCACAAAUUGCUUAAGAUUGAGAUGCAAAUUGAGAAAAUGAUUCUUUCCCUCUUCCGUUGGA